rnacentral:rRNA from 1 species
UGCCAGACUCCUACGGGAGGCAGCAGUUAGGAAUAUUGGGCAAUGGAGGAAACUCUGACCCAGCAACGCCGCGUGAAGGAAGAAGGUUUUCGGAUUGUAAACUUCUGAUCUGAGUGAAGAAGAAAGUGAUGGUAGCUCAGGAGAAAGCCACGGCUAACUACGUGCCAGCAGCCGCGGUAAUACGUAGGUGGCGAGCGUUGUCCGGAAUAACUGGGCGUAAAGGGAGCGUAGGUUGCGAUUUAAGUUUGAUGUGAAAGCCCAGGGCUCAACCCUGGAACUGCAUUUAAAACUGGAUUGCUAGAGUACAGGAGGGGUAAGCGGAAUUUCUAGUGUAGCGGUGAAAUGCGUAGAUAUUAGGAAGAACACCAGAGGCGAAGGCGGCUUACUGGACUGCAACUGACACUGAGGCUCGAAAGCGUGGGGAGCAAACAGGAUUAGAUACCCCUGUA